rnacentral:rRNA from 1 species
AACGCGUGGAGCAUGUGGCUUAAUUUGACUCAACGCGGGGAAUCUUACCGGGUCCGGACACACUGAGGAUUGACAGACGGUUAUUGACUUAAGUAAGCGCCUUAAUAGAUUUAUUCUGUUAAGCGCUCUUAACACCUUUACACAAAGAUGCUAGUCCUUUCAUGAUCGUUUGAUAGGUGGUGCAUGGCCGUUCUUAGUUCGUGGAGUGAUCUGUCUGCCUAAUUGCGUUUCACUAAGGUCCCAUUCAUCAUACGUAUGAAUAGCGUCUUAACUCACUUUUAUCAUUACUUAUUGUAGUAAGCGCUCAUACUAUUGGGACCGGAAUGCAACGAGCGCGACUGCACCACCUAAUUGCCCCUUAUCUACCACUAAUUAUUAUUAUUAACCGCCCUGUACGGGCACCGGGGCCUUACCUUUACUGAAACUAGCUGGACCGCUGCUUUCCUUUAAGCCAGAGGAAGGUUGCGGCAAUAACAGGUCUGUGAUGCCCUCAGAUGUUCCGGGCCGCACACGUGCUACAAUGAUCAGCACAAAGAGUAUUACCUAUCUUCUUAUACCUAACCUAAUAUGUUAAACUUAUUGCGUAAGGGUAUUGUCUUAACGACGUAUCCGCUUUAGCGCGUUAAGAUUAUUGGGCGGUUAUGCCUGCCUCGAGAGAGUGUACAGGGCAGCAAGAGUAAUGAUUCCCUCGUUUUUACUACUAAUACCGCGCUUAGUAACAUAUAACACUCGAUUAAGUAGAGUCUUUGCUUCUAAUAGCAUUGCUACUCUCACCCUUAGUCUCUUAAGAUAUUUAUAUGUCUCUCUAAGGUCUACAGGGAGGUGUGUAUGGCGCACUUACUUAUUCACGGUGGGGACAGACCAUUGUUAACUGUUGGUCUCGGUCUCAACUAGGAAUGCCUCGUACGGGUUGGUUCACCAAACCACCCGGAAUAUGUCCCUGCCCUUUGUACACACCGCCCGUCGCUCUUAUCGAUGAACUCACUUGUGAGGCUAAGGGACUGCGUCUUAACACAUAUAUCUACACUUAUACCCGUGUAAUCCUCAUAUCUUAAAUACAUUUCGCUAAACGCGAUUUUCCUUUAAGGAUUUACACGACCNNGCGCACAAACUUAUUCGACCAAGUGGGUUUAAAGGAAAGAGAAGUCGUAACAAGGCAGCAGUAGGUGAACCUGCUGAUGGUANCAAAGGCNAAUUCGCGGGCCG